GUUUUCAUAGAAGAGAAAUCAGUGCUACGCCAAAUAAAAAAAAAAAUCAUUAUUAUUCUAUCACUGGUCGAUUGGGUUAACAGUCAAAUAAUGUAUUUCAGGAUACUCAAGUCCACCUUGAAAGUUCACUUCUUGAGCAUAUGGUCAAGUCAAGACAGGUAUUAAGACUGUGGCAGUGUUCAACUUUCGAGGAAAAAGAUAAAAGAAAGAAAUCAUGACAUUGUUGUCAAAUCAUUGACUAUGUGCCAAGUUUUUUAACUAAUUUUAGCACCAAUGAAGUCUCAUACCUGGCGCUGGAGCUGGAGCUGGUGGAGUUCUUGGAGGAUGCGGUGUCGGAAGGCAAGGAGACCCCAGGCCAAGAGCGACACAUGCAG